GAAAAUUGAUUAAGAGAUAGUUGAUUUGACCACACAAUUGGAAACAUUUACAAACAUCCCAAGAUUAUGACAUCUUAUUAGUUUCAGACACUUGUCAUGCUUGUGAUAUAAACAGGCAAGUUGAAAACUUGACCUUCAUCUAUAUGUCCAGAUUGUAUCAUGAUAAAUGUAAUGAAGCUUGAAAUAGUGACCAUGGUGACCAGCUCAUCCCUACCACUUAUUGAAAUUAGAUUUCUUGUUUGAAAAUGCAAGUUAUUCAACAAUACUACCUGCUAAAGUUCACUUAUGCAUGCAAUUAGCAUUCCAUAAAAUUUCUAGACCUUGAUAUCUUCAAAG
rnacentral:lncRNA from 1 species